rnacentral:lncRNA from 1 species
AUGUCCCAGAGGCCCCAAUCUGGCCACGAGAGCACCCAGCCAGAUUUCCAUCCAGAAUCUCCAAAUAACAACCAAGAUGAGACCCAAAACCCUUCGCCACUUACCUACAGGCCCCAGGUCAGUACUCAGGACUCUCCACCGAUUGUCCACAGUCGCCGGGUCAGUAUCCAAGAACCCCUGCCCAUUAGCCACAGUCGCCGGGUCAGUAUCCAAGAACCCCUGCCCAUUAGCCACAGUCGCCGGGUCAGUAUCCAAGACCCUCCACCAGUGAGCAGUCGCCGAGUCAGCAUCCAAGACACACCAUCCAUUUUCAGCAGUCGCCGAGUCAGUACCCAAGACACACCAUCCAUUUUCAACAGUCGCCGAGUCAGUACCCAAGACACACCGCCACUUACCUACAGUCGCUGGGUCAAUAGCCAAGAGCUUCUACCAGUUCUCCAAACUCGCCGCCCCAGCGUCCAAAGCCCUCCAUUGAUUACGCACACCACCCUGAGGAGUAUAGAAUCAAGUGACGACAGUAGUGAAGUCAGUCUCCCGGACCACCGGCCAAAAACUGGCAUCUGGCCGGUAAUCCGGGCCAAAGUCGACAUCCCCCCUUCAAUUACUGACAGCCCCGAGGCCAGUAUCAAAAGCAUGGAAUCGAUUACCUGGGCCUCCCAGGAGAGUCUCAAAGGCUCUACGGACAGCUCCCAAUUCAACCAAACUACUCUAGAGAAAAGCACCCUCAGCUCACCAUCAGGCCACGACUUUGAGGUCAAUUCUGGCAGGUUUCAGAACAAGUAUAAACGCAGCCGUUCACCGCUGCCCGUAGGCUGGCGGCUGCUGCAUGAGGCCAAGAAGAUCAGCCGCCUGCUGAGUCUGGCACUGAGCCUGGCUGGCAUGGUGAUCAUCGGUCUCAUCUCUCUGGGCCAGCCCUGGAUCCACUUCCAGGUGCCAUUGCUGCCCCCUUGGGACCCUGCGGGCCCCUUGACCAUCCCCGUCAGCACCAUCUUCUUUAUGCAGUGCCCUGACAGCUCCUGCCUGCAUGAGUACAACCAGGAUAUUUACUUUCUGGACUUCUCCUGGGCCUUCCUCAUCAUCGCCAGCAUCACCAACGUCUGCCUCUGCAUCAUCCUCAUAAACAUGAACUUCUUCAGCUGGUCCAACAUGCCAGCACUGGACUUCACCAACAUCGUCCUCAGCAUCCUGACAGGGACGAGCACGAUCUUGGGUGUCUUGUGCUACCUGCUGCAGGCUGACGAGUUCCUGCAGGAAGGCAUGACCUACAGGCUGGGGCGGAGCUUCUACCUGGCAUGGACCAGCGUCUUCUUCUUCAUGAUGACUGGUUUCUUGUCCUAUCUCAACUACAUGAAUUUCUGGUCCAUCCUGGCGAUCCAGGCUGUCUGGACUUAG